rnacentral:rRNA from 1 species
AUUGAACGCUGGCGGCAUGCCUUACACAUGCAAGUCGAACGGCAGCACGGAGCUUGCUCUGGUGGCGAGUGGCGAACGGGUGAGUAAUAUAUCGGAACGUACCCAAGAGUGGGGGAUAACGUAGCGAAAGUUACACUAAUACCGCAUACGAUCUAAGGAUGAAAGCAGGGGAUCUUCGGACCUUGUGCUCCUGGAGCGGCCGAUAUCUGAUUAGCUAGUUGGUGAGGUAAAGGCUCACCAAGGCAUCGAUCAGUAGCUGGUCUGAGAGGACGACCAGCCACACUGGAACUGAGACACGGUCCAGACUCCUACGGGAGGCAGCAGUGGGGAAUUUUGGGACAAUGGGGGCAACCCUGAUCCAGCAAUGCCGCGUGAGUGAAGAAGGCCU